ACCUGCCUUCACUGGUUCGUGGCAGCCCGGCGUGCAUCCUCAUACAGGCUCACCUGGUCUCCUUACACCACGGGUCCCUGCACAUGCUCAUUAUGCUGCUCCUUCACCGCCCAUGUAUGCUGCACCAUCGCCGGCUCCCUAUGCCUCGCCGAUGCACUCGCCGAUGCCCUUUGCUAUGGGUCCUUAUGGCUUUUCGGCACCGGUCACCUAUAAUCCUGGAGGCUACUACUCGCCAUACACUAUGUCCUCGACUCCUGCUGCACCGCCACCAUCUGCGCCAGUACCUGCUCCGUCAACUGCACCGACUCCCUCUACUCCGAGCUGGGACCAAGCUGCGUUUCUUCAGGCUAUGAAUAAUUUUGCUGCUCAAGAAAAUUCAGGAUUUCAUGACCAAGGCGGAGAUCGUUCGCUUCGAUAGCUCUGGCGACCUCUACUACGUUCAUGGUGCUCCUGCGGUCUCGUCUCCAUCAUCCAUGCUCGCCUCCGUAGAUCUAUGGCAUCAACGCUUAGGCCAUCCGAAUAAAGCCACUUUAUCCUCUCUUCUUAGUGAUUUUUCGAUCCCCUGUAAUAAAGAGGCUCAUAAUCCCUCUAUUUGUGAGUUUUGUCAACAAGGAAAACAUGUUCGUUUACCAUUUGUGCAUUCUAA